CAUUCACGUAAGAGCUGGGUGAUGCUUGGGAGUCUGGUCCUUCUCCAGAAAAUGUCUUGGACUAAGGUCAACAAUCCCUUGAAGGAGAGAGACAUACGAAGAAGCCAUUUGAGAGGAACCGUGACCUUUGGUAAAGGUCACAGCCAGUCCAAAGUAAACAGCACACCACCGCUAAGAAACCCAGUAAUGAAUCCCUUAGUGUCCUGCACCAUCCAUGUGGCCUCCACAAGCUCUUCCCCACGCUGAGGUAAGGCAAGUGAAUGUCAUAAAUAUCAAGUGCUUUGUUCAUCUAUAUCGUGGGAAUGAGGAGCAUGAUAAAUUCUCACUAAUGGCAUGUAAGUGGAAAUGAGUCUCACCAACAGCCCAAGGAGAGAAGUGGAUGGGCCUGCUCUACACUCUGGAUCCUGCUUCAUCGUUCAGCUAGACUUAGAGAAUCCAGUGGAGGACUCCAAGUUCCUUUCCAAAGGCAGAGAGGUCCGUAAAGCAAGGAUAUCUGUCCCAAGUGACCACCUGAAGUAACCCUAACUUCACCU
rnacentral:lncRNA from 1 species